GGCUCUGUGGCGCAAUGCAUAGCGCAUUGGACUUCUAGGCUGUGAGCUGAGCCAUUCAAAGGUUGUGGGUUCGAGUCCCACCAGAGUCG
rnacentral:tRNA from 1 species